rnacentral:rRNA from 1 species
UACACUAGACGUUCGUUCAGCUUCGGUUGUGUGAGUGUCGAAGCCAACGCGCUAAGCGUACCGCCUGGGGAGUACGGUCGCAAGGCUUAAACUCAAAGGAAUUGACGGGGGCCCGCACAAGCAGCGGAGCGUGUGGUUUAAUUCGAGGCUACGCGAUUAACCUUACCUGGGUUUGACAUCAAUGCGAACAAAAGCGAAAGCUGGCGGUCCUUCGGGCGCAUUGACAGGUGCUGCAUGGCUGUCGUCAGCUCGUGUCGUGAGAUGUUCGGUUAAGUCCGAAAACGAGCGCAACCCCUAGGUUUAGUUACAAGUGUCUAGACCGACUGCCUGCAGCAAGCAGGAGGAAGGUGGGGAUGACGUCAAGUCAGCAUGGCCUUUAUGUCCAGGGCUACACACACGCUACAAUGGCGCGUACAAUGGGUCGCGAACCCGCGAGGGGGAGCCAAUCCUACAAAGCGCGUCGUAGUUCGGAUUGUAGGCUGCAACUCGCCUGCAUGAAGUCGGAGUUGCUAGUAACCGCAGAUCAGCACGCUGCGGUGAAUACGUUCCCGGGCCUUGUACACACCGCCCGUCACGUCAUGGAAGUUGGUCACGCCUGAAGUCG